CCCGGAGGCGGCCGGGACCCCCGGCCCCGGCGCCCCCGGACCCGCUGCCUCGGCUCGACGGGGACCCGCGCGAGGGCCGGAGCGCUCCCGGCCGUCGGGCGCGUCGCCAGGCCUCGUCCUCGGCCCUGGGCCCCAGCCCGCCCCUGCCCUGGCGCCGCUGCCACCUGGGCACCUGUCAGAUCCAGAACCUGGCCAGCCUCCUCUACCGCCUCGGGGGCAACGCCGCCAAGGAGUCCUCCGGGAAGAACAGCAAGGGCACCUCGGACCCGCUGGGCUACGGCCGCAGGCGGAGGAGGCGGAGGAGGCGGAGGCGGAGGAGGAGGAGGAGGGGAGCCCCCCGACCCCCGCCCGAUGCCCCCCCGGGGACCCUCCCCGCCUCACGGCUCCGCCCUUGACCCGGGCUCCAGAGGAGGGGACCCCGCACGCCCCAGCCGCCCGGCCUGGAGCUGCCCCCCCGCCCCCCGCCUGCCCCUGGGGCCCGGACACCCCCCGCUCCCGGACUGACCCCCUCCCCCGGGUGGCCUUGGUGGGGCGGGGGGCGACUAGGGGCUCCCCACCCUCCGCUGGCGUGCGAGGUCCUUUCCCCAGGCGGCGGGCCUGUCCUACCCCCUAAUAAACGCUGACCCGGCAGGCUGGGUUUUUCUUUUCAUUA